GACAGAGGGUGCAAACGUUUGUUUCGGAAUUACUGGGCGUAAAGCGAGUGUAGGCGGUCUCGUAAGUCGGGUGUGAAAGCCCUGGGCUCAACCCAGGAAGUGUACUCGAAACUGCGAGGCUAGAGUACUGGAGAGGUUGGUGGAAUUCUCGGUGUAGAGGUGAAAAUUCGUAGAUAUCGAGAGGAACACCGGUGGCGAAGGCGGCCAACUGGACAGAUACUGACGCUGAGAACUCGAAAAGGCGUGGGGG
rnacentral:rRNA from 1 species